CCAAUUUUCUGCCACCGAAUACAUUAGCAUGGGAUAAUGGAAUAGGACCCUGUCCUCCUAUUUUCAGUUGGUUUUGGCAGCGCGAGGACUAGGGUAAUGAUUAAUAGGGAUAGUUGGGGGCAUUAAUAUUUAAUUGUCAGAGGUGAAAUUCUUGGAUUUAUGAAAGAUUAACUUCUGCGAAAGCAUCUGCCAAGGAUGUUUUCAUUAAUCAAGAACGAAAGUUAGGGGAUCGAAGACGAUCAGAUACCGUCGUAGUCUUAACCAUAAACGAUGCCGACCAGCGAUUAGGAGACGUUGAAUACAAAACACCACCAUCGGUGCGGUCGUCCUUGGCGUCGGUCUUUCGGGGCCGGCGCGGGGACGGCUUAGCCCGGUGGCACCGGUGAAUGACUCCCUAG
rnacentral:rRNA from 1 species